rnacentral:rRNA from 1 species
UGGCUCAGAUUGAACGCUGGCGGCAGGCCUAACACAUGCAAGUCGAGCGGUAGAGAGAAGCUUGCUUCUCUUGAGAGCGGCGGACGGGUGAGUAAUGCCUAGGAAUCUGCCUGGUAGUGGGGGAUAACGUUCGGAAACGAACGCUAAUACCGCAUACGUCCUACGGGAGAAAGCAGGGGACCUUCGGGCCUUGCGCUAUCAGAUGAGCCUAGGUCGGAUUAGCUAGUUGGUGGGGUAAUGGCUCACCAAGGCGACGAUCCGUAACUGGUCUGAGAGGAUGAUCAGUCACACUGGAACUGAGACACGGUCCAGACUCCUACGGGAGGCAGCAGUGGGGAAUAUUGGACAAUGGGCGAAAGCCUGAUCCAGCCAUGCCGCGUGUGUGAAGAAGGUCUUCGGAUUGUAAAGCACUUUAAGUUGGGAGGAAGGGCCAUUACCUAAUACGUGAUGGUUUUGACGUUACCGACAGAAUAAGCACCGGCUAACUCUGUGCCAGCAGCCGCGGUAAUACAGAGGGUGCAAGCGUUAAUCGGAAUUACUGGGCGUAAAGCGCGCGUAGGUGGUUUGUUAAGUUGGAUGUGAAAUCCCCGGGCUCAACCUGGGAACUGCAUUCAAAACUGACUGACUAGAGUAUGGUAGAGGGUGGUGGAAUUUCCUGUGUAGCGGUGAAAUGCGUAGAUAUAGGAAGGAACACCAGUGGCGAAGGCGACCACCUGGACUGAUACUGACACU